rfam:Stegodyphus mimosarum contig26395, whole genome shotgun sequence.
AUCUUCCUGGUGUAGUGGUCAGCACGCUCGACGCGUAACCGAGAGGUCCGUGGUUCGAUUCCCGGGGAAAGCG